GGAAUCUUCCACAAUGGGCGCAAGCCUGAUGGAGCAACACCGCGUGAGUGAAGAAGGGUUUCGGCUCGUAAAGCUCUGUUGUAAGAGAAGAACGUGUGUGAGAGUGGAAAGUUCACACAGUGACGGUAACUUACCAGAAAGGGACGGCUAACUACGUGCCAG
rnacentral:rRNA from 1 species